rnacentral:rRNA from 1 species
AGAGUUUGAUCCUGGCUCAGAUUGAACGCUGGCGGAAUGCUUUACACAUGCAAGUCGAACGGCAGCAUAGGUGCUUGCACCUGAUGGCGAGUGGCGAACGGGUGAGUAAUACAUCGGAACGUGCCCAGUCGUGGGGGAUAACGUAGCGAAAGUUACGCUAAUACCGCAUACGAUCUACGGAUGAAAGCGGGGGACCGUAAGGCCUCGCGCGAUUGGAGCGGCCGAUGUUAGAUUAGGUAGUUGGUGGGGUAAAGGCUCACCAAGCCGACGAUCUAUAGCUGGUCUGAGAGGAUGAUCAGCCACACUGGGACUGAGACACGGCCCAGACUCCUACGGGAGGCAGCAGUGGGGAAUUUUGGACAAUGGGCGCAAGCCUGAUCCAGCCAUUCCGCGUGCAGGAUGAAGGCCCUCGGGUUGUAAACUGCUUUUGUACAGAACGAAAAGGUCCUGGUUAAUACCUAGGGCUCAUGACGGUACUGUAAGAAUAAGCACCGGCUAACUACGUGCCAGCAGCCGCGGUAAU